AUCCCGCCGGACCCGACUGCUAUUUGGGUGAGAAUAAGCCAUGCGAGUUGAAUGGAAUACCUAAAUUUUCCAUAGCAAACUGCUCAGUAACACAUGAUCAACUUACCCUAUAGAGACAAAUAACCUCGGGAAACUGAGGAUAAUGUUUCAUAGUUGAAAAGGCUUGGAAGAGUUUUUCAAUCAAAGGGAUAAAAAAAAUGGUUUUUAUCCGCUAUAGGAUAGGAUCGUGGUCGAUUAUGGUUGUUGGUGAGGUAAUGGCUCACCAAGCCGAUAAUCGAUAGGGGCCGUGAGAGCGGGAGCCCCGAGAUGGGUACUGAGACAACGACCCAGGCCUUACGAGGCGCAGCAGGCGCGAAACCUCCGCAAUACACGAAAGUGUGACGGGGUUACCCAAAGUGUUCAGUUUUGAACUGUGGUAGGUGAGUAAUGUCCCCUACUAGAAAGGAGAGGGCAAGGCUGGUGCCAGCCGCCGCGGUAAAACCAGCUCUUCAAGUGGUCGGGAUAAUUAUUGGGCUUAAAGUGUCCGUAGCCGGUUUAGUAAGUUCCUGGUAAAAUCGGGUAGCUUAACUAUCUGUAUGCUAGGAAUACUGCUAAACUAGAGGGCGGGAGAGGUCUGAGGUACUACAGGGGUAGGGGUGAAAUCUUAUAAUCCUUGUAGGACCACCAGUGGCGAAGGCGUCAGACUGGAACGUGCCUGACGGUGAGGGACGAAAGCCAGGGGAGCGAACCGGAUUAGAUACCCGGGUAGUCCUGGCCGUAAACGAUGCAUACUAGGUGAUGGCAUGGCCAUGAGCCGUGUCAGUGCCGUAGGGAAACCGUUAAGUAUGCCGCCUGGGAAGUACGGUCGCAAGGCUAAAACUUAAAGGAAUUGGCGGGGGAGCACCACAAGGGGUGAAGCCUGCGGUUCAAUUGGAUUCAACGCCGGAAUCACUAGUGCGGGCCGCCUGCAGGUCGACCAUAUGGGAGAGCUCCCAACGCGUUGGAUGCAUAGCUUGAGUUAUUCUAUAGUGUCACCUAAUAGCUUGGCGUAUCAUGGUCAUAGCUUGUUUCCUGGUGUGAAAUUGUUAUUCCGCCUCACAAUUCCACAC
rnacentral:rRNA from 1 species